rnacentral:pre_miRNA from 14 species
UGGAGCGCCUUCUCUGUGAGAGCGAGGCAGUUAAGACUUGCAGUGAUGUUUAGUUAAAAUCUUUUCAUGAACAUCACUUUAAGUCUGUACUGCUUCUCCCUCUUUUCCGCACCCCAAGGCC